rnacentral:lncRNA from 1 species
AGAGCUGAGGAAAGCUCUCUGGGGAAGUGUCCUGAGUCACGAACAAAUGAAUUAUGAAAACGUUUCUUUCAGGCAAUGAUAUGGAGGCCCAUGAUGAUCAGAGAGAGGGAUGCAGGGACAAGUACUGCCAAGCAGGAAAGUCUUGGACAUGACAAUGAGCCACAAGCAGGAACUGGGCACGUGUGAUGCUGAGAGUGGAAGGGGAGACCAGGACAAGAAAAAUCACAGGAGAGUUUAA